rnacentral:misc_RNA from 1 species
GUAGGUGAACCUGCGGAAGGAUCAUUAACACGUAUCCAACGUUAAACAACCCUUUGAACCUUGAACGUGCUCUCGUACACGCUCUAGCAGCAAUCCCUGGUAAAUCAUUGUUACCAGCUAUUGAGUCUGGGACUUCUGCUAGAAAACCAUACGAUACGAGCGUCCUAGCAAUCUGUCAGUGGUUGCGCAAGGAUGGCGCAGUAAACGAUCGCUGUAGGCCCACACGGCCGGCGACCGGGCCUCUGUGCUUCGGCACCUAAUGACACCAGUUUUCUGACCCGGUGCGCUGUAACAACCGCACCACAAACUCGAACAACUGUUAACAAUGGAUAUCUUGGUUCUG